AAAGUUUUAAGUUAAAAAAACUAUUAACCUUCAAAGUUAAAAUUAAAAAAAAUUUUUAAACUUUA
rnacentral:tRNA from 1 species